rnacentral:rRNA from 1 species
GACAGAGGGUGCAAACGUUGUUCGGAAUUACUGGGCGUAAAGCGUGUGUAGGCGGUUCUCUAAGUCGGAUGUGAAAUCCCUGGGCUCAACCCAGGAAGUGCACUCGAAACUGGAGGGCUAGAGUAUCGGAGAGGUUGGUGGAAUUCUCGGUGUAGAGGUGAAAUUCGUAGAUAUCGGGAGGAACACCGGUGGCGAAGGCGGCGAUCUGGGUCGAUACUGACGCUGAGGUGCGAAAGCGUGGGGAGCAAACAGG